AUGCAAGUCGAGCGGUCCUUCGGGACAGCGGCGAACGGGUUAGUAACGCGUGGGAACGUGCCCUUUAGUACGGAAUAGCCAUUGGAAACGAUGAUUAAUACCGUAUACGCCCCAAGGGGGAAAGAUUUAUCGCUAAAGGAUCGGCCCGCGUUAGAUUAGGUAGUUGGUAGGGUAAUGGCCUACCAAGCCGACGAUCUAUAGCUGGUUUGAGAGGAUGAUCAGCAACACUGGGACUGAGACACGGCCCAGACUUCUACGGAAGGCAGCAGUAGGGAAUCUUGGACAAUGGGCGAAAGCCUGAUCCAGCCAUGCCGCGUGAGUGAUGAAGGCCCUAGGGUUGUAAAGCUCUUUCGCCAGGGAAGAUAAUGACGGUACCUGGUAAAGAAACCCCGGCUAACUCCGUGCCAGCAGCCGCGGUAAUACGGAGGGGGUUAGCGUUGUUCGGAAUUACUGGGCGUAAAGCGCACGUAGGCGGAUUAAUAAGUCAGGGGUGAAAUCCCGAGGCUCAACCUCGGAACUGCCUUUGAUACUGUUAAUCUUGAGUUCGAGAGAGGUGAGUGGAAUUCCGAGUGUAGAGGUGAAAUUCGUAGAUAUUCGGAGGAACACCAGUGGCGAAGGCGGCUCACUGGCUCGAUACUGACGCUGAGGUGCGAAAGCGUGGGGAGCAAACAGGAUUAGAUGCCCUGGUAGUCCUAGCUGUAAACGAUGGAUACUAGACGUAGGAAUUGGAUUAACGAUUUCUGUGUCGUAGCUAACGCGUUAAGUAUCCCGCCUGGGGAGUACGGUCGCAAGACUAAAACUCAAAGGAAUUGACGGGACCCCGCACAAGCGGCGGAGCAUGCGGCUUAAUUCGAUGAUACCCGUAGAAUCUUACCUGGACUUGACAUAUAGGGAAAAGUUAUAGAAAUAUAUGUGCAUUAGCGCCUAUACAGGUGUGCAUGCUGUCGUCAGCUCGUGUCGUGAGAUGUGGGUAGUCCCGCACGAGCGCACCCUGUCUAUGUGCAGCAGUAUGUGGGACUCAUAGAACUGCGUGAUAUCGGAGAGUGGGACGACGUCAAGUCUUCUGUCCUAUGUUCAGGCUGCACGCAUGCUACAA
rnacentral:rRNA from 1 species